AACGAACGCUGGCGGCAUGCCUAACACAUGCAAGUCGAACGAGACCUUCGGGUCUAGUGGCGCACGGGUGCGUAACGCAUGGGAACCUGCCUUUAGGUUCGGAAUAACUCAGAGAAAUUUGAGUUAAUACCGGUUGAUGUCUUCGGAGCAAAGAUUUUUCGCCUUUGGAUGGGCCCGCGUUGGGUUAGGCAGUUGGUGGGGUAAAGGCCUGCCAAGGCGACGAUCCAUAGCUGGUCUGAGAGGAUGACCAGGCACACUGGGACUGAGACACGGCCCAGACUCCUACGGGAGGCAGCAGUGGGGAAUAUUGGACAAUGGACGAAAGCCUGAUCCAGCAAUGCCGCGUGAGUGAUGAAGGCCUUAGGGUUGUAAAGCUCUUUUACCCGAGAUGAUAAUGACAGUAUCGGGAGAAUAAGCUCCGGCUAACUCCGUG
rnacentral:rRNA from 1 species